GCGCCUGUAGCUCAGAGGAUAGAGCAACGGACUUCUAAUCCGUAGGUCGCAGGUUCGAAUCCUGCCAGGCGCGCCA
rnacentral:tRNA from 1 species